rnacentral:rRNA from 1 species
GACGAACCGUGCAAACGUUGUUCGGAUUCACUGGGCUUAAAGGGCGCGUAGGCGGGUGGUCAAGUCGGGGGUGAAAUCUUUCAGCUUAACUGGAAAAUAGCUUCCGAUACUGGCCGUCUUGAGGGAGGUAGGGGCAUGUGGAACUUCCGGUGGAGCGGUGAAAUGCGUAGAUAUCGGAAGGAACGCCGGUGGCGAAAGCGACGUGCUGGACCUUUUCUGACGCUGAGGCGCGAAAGCCAGGGGAGCAAACGGG